rnacentral:tRNA from 1 species
GCACCUGUAGCUCAGAUGGACAGAGCACAAAAUUACGAAUUUUGGGGUCGGGGGUUCGAAUCCCUUCAGGUGUU